rnacentral:rRNA from 1 species
UGCAUGGUUGUCGUCAGCUCGUGCCGUGAGGUGUCGGCUUAAGUGCCAUAACGAGCGCAACCCUUGUUGUCAGUUACUAACAGGUUCCGCUGAGGACUCUGACAAGACUGCCAUCGUAAGAUGUGAGGAAGGUGGGGAUGACGUCAAAUCAGCACGGCCCUUACGUCCGGGGCUACACACGUGUUACAAUGGGGGGUACAGAGGGCCGCUACCACGCGAGUGGAUGCCAAUCCCAAAAACCUCUCUCAGUUCGGACUGGAGUCUGCAACCCGACUCCACGAAGCUGGAUUCGCUAGUAAUCGCGCAUCAGCCACGGCGCGGUGAAUACGUUCCCGGGCCUUGUACACACCGCCCGUCAAGCCAUGGGAGCCGGGGGUACCUGAAGUGCGUAACCGCGAGGAGCGCCCUAGGGUAAAACUGGUGACUGGGGCUAAGUCGUAACAAGGUAGCCGUACCGGAAGGUGCGGCUGGAUCACCUC